GAUGAACGCUGGCGGCGUGCCUAAUACAUGCAAGUCGAGCGGACAGACGAGGAGCUUGCUUCUCUUACGUUAGCGGCGGACGGGUGAGUCACACGUGGCUAACCGACCUUUAAGACUGGGAUCACUUCGGGAAACCGGAUCUCAUACCGGAUAAGAUAUUGAACCGCAGGGUUCAUUAGUGCAAGCCGGUUUUGCUGUCCCUAAUAGAUGUAUCCGCGUCGCAUUAGCUAGUUGGUAAGGUAACGGCUUACCAAGGCAACGAUGCGUAGCCGACCUGAGAGGGUGAUCAGCCACACUGGAACUGAGACACGGUCCAGACUCCUACGGGAGGCAGCAGUAGGGAAUAUUGGACAAUGGGCGAAAGCCUGACGGAGCAACGCCGCGUGUGUGAUGAAGGUCUUCGGAUCGUAAAACUCUUUUAUUAGGGAAGAACAAAUGUGUAAGAAAAUAUGCAUGUCUUGACGUUACCUAAUCAGAAAGCCACGGCUAACUACGUG
rnacentral:rRNA from 1 species